AUCGAACGCUGGCGGCAUGCUUUACACAUGCAAGUCGAACGGUAACAGGGUGCUUGCACCGCUGACGAGUGGCGAACGGGUGAGUAAUGCGUCGGAACGUGCCGAGUAGUGGGGGAUAACGCAGCGAAAGUUGUGCUAAUACCGCAUACGUACUGAGGUAGAAAGUGGGGGACCUUCGGGCCUCACGCUAUUCGAGCGGCCGACGUCUGAUUAGCUAGUAGGUGAGGUAAAGGCUCACCUAGGCGACGAUCAGUAGCGGGUCUGAGAGGAUGAUCCGCCACACUGGGACUGAGACACGGCCCAGACUCCUACGGGAGGCAGCAGUGGGGAAUUUUGGACAAUGGGCGAAAGCCUGAUCCAGCCAUGCCGUGUGUCUGAAGAAGGCCUUCGGGUUGUAAAGGACUUUUGUCAGGGAGGAAAUCCCUAGUGCUAAUAACACUGGGGGAUGACAGUACCUGAAGAAUAAGCACCGGCUAACUACGUGCCAGCAGCCGCAGUAA
rnacentral:rRNA from 1 species